rnacentral:ncRNA from 1 species
UAAAAUACGAUGAAAAGAAGAGUACUAUUUUUAUAAAAUUGAUGAGAGAGUCUCAGCUGCUGAAAAGAGAUAAUUUUAGAAAAUAGGAAGAUGGUCUUUGAGUAGAUAUUGAUCAACACUUGUAUAGUCAAUAUUGGGAACGCCCAUUACAGCGUAACGGUAUAGAUCGACAUGAUCCGUACCUAUAGAGGGAAAUCUCGUGAGGGAUUUUCAAUUAAAGGUGGUAACACGAUCAAUCGUCCUUUAC